CCACUGAGCCAAGACAGGAUCUCCGUGAACUGACAGAUUGUUGUUGUUGCUGUUCAUUGUUUGUCUAGACAAGAAAUUUUACUAAAUUAUUUGCUAAAUUUCAUUCCCAUGCCUUAUUGGCUUUAUUUCUUUUGCUUCUUGCUUCAAGAAGAUUUUCCUUCAAGAGUAUUGUACAAUGUGUAUUAGAUGAUCUGAGGCCUAGUAGUCCCAACAUUAUUUUUUUCACUCUAACGUUUAAAAGAUAGUUUAAAAUAUAGCUUUAACUUUUUUCUUUUAAUGCUUCGUAAAUAGUAGUCCAUCGUCUCUUGCGCUCAGGGCUGCUGAUGAAAAGCCUGGGCUAGGUGUGUUGGUCCCCACCUACAGUGUCCAGAGAGUAACUGAGGCCACGCGUGCGAGCAGAUCACCAGCUGGAACGUGAAGAGGGAGAAGAGAAGGAGCCAAGAAGGAACCCUUGAGAAAAGCCAGCAUGUAAGUGGGGGAUGAAAAAGAGGCAUGGGGCGCUGGCUUGAGAAGGAACAGCCACGGAUGGGCAGACACAGCCAGGAGUGUGUGAUGCGACCCAAGAAAGGAGGCCGUUUCCAAAAAGAGAGAAUGAUGAGCAUCACCAAAUAUCCAAGAGGGCAGCCUAUGGACAAGGUCAGCCUUCAUAAGAAUGGAAGUGACUCCGAGAGAAGAGAAACCAAGCAAGGACACAGAAGCUUCAAGACCUGGGUUUGGGCCGUUGCCGAGAACUAGCUGCGUCUUGGCCUUCCCACAACUUUUUGUCCCGUCCUGUUUUGGAUCCUGAGGGAACUAGGAAGGCGGGAGAGUCAGAGAAGACGUGGUGAUGGAAACAGAAGUCGGAAACAGGGAGACUUGAAGCUGCUCCAUUUCUGGCUUUGAGGAUAGAGGAAGAGGCUGCGAGCCAGGGGAGGCCGUGGCCUGCAGAGACCGGAAAAGGCAAGGAAACAGCUUCUCCCCUGGAGCCGCCAAAGGAAACCACCUGUCAACACGACACCUCAGCCCAGGGAAGCCCUCCUCAGACUUCUGACCUCCCCAAUCUCAAG
rnacentral:lncRNA from 1 species